CUUUCCUUACUAAAAUUCCUUUCAUUGGGGCUGACUCUAAGGCUGGCUCAGCAGUCACCUUAAAAAUAGAAGAAGAAAGCAUGCUACAAAUCAGUGGUCACCAACCGGUCAAUCAAGAUCAAUCAGUGGAUAACGGAGCCUCUCGAAGUCAGUCCUGAGCUGUAGGGGCUGAAUGGGGCAGUCUGCUGGAGAAAUGACGACUGGGGCACAAAAGCAGAAGAGAGAAAACCAAGCCUCACACAGGCAGUCCACAAAAAAAGGAGUUGGAGACUUCAUGUGGAGAGGGGAACCAACCAUUGAGCAGCCAUGCAAAGCAAUGGCAAAAUACAAAAAUAAGAAAUCCAGCCUGCAACAAGGUCAUGAGGUAGCUAAAGAAAUG